GUUCUAGAGCUUUGGAGGUUCAUUCAUUUGCUCCUAGGAUACUCUGCGGUGGACAUCAAGUGUGAUAUGGACUUGGUAGAAGAUGAACACAUUACAGCCAUGUUUGAAUCCUCGCCAUAGCUGGUUGGAUCUGAUGGAUACCUAACUUCCCUGGACUAAUCCGAUAUUUGAUAUUUUACAUAUACUUGAAAUAUUUCUUUUUUUCAAAAAAGGAAAAGGAAACAGUGGCAAUGGUAACAGAUAGUGGUGUUUGGCUGAGCUAUACCUACUGAUCAAUUUCCUUUUCCCUUGCUGUCUUUUGCCAAAUACCUUCCCAGUCUCUCUCGCAGUAAAGAUGGCCACAAGACAGAGUUCUAAUGAAUGAGACAUAGACAAAACUUCUUGGACUCUUCUUGGAAAGCUUUUACUUUUCUGAUACUAUGGUCAAAUCUAGCUAGCAGCACUUAUCCUCUCCUUUCUCCUGUUUCGAACAUGGAUAAGAUGUCUGGAGCUCUGAUGGCCAUCUUGCAACCACGAGGAAAGUUCAAGAGAAUCACAGAGACACUAGCUUUAACAUCAUUGAACCACUGAUCCAAUGCCAAAAAUUACCUGUCUCUCCACAUCUUGCUAUGUAAAGACCAACCAAGCAACCAACAAACCAACGAAGGCUGUUCAAGAUUCUAUAGACCCUAGAGAUCGGUGUGUUUUAAAUCCUUUCUAAUUGUUAUGAUGCUAUGCUAUAGCAAAAUAUUAUUAAGUCCCAUCAUAUCUUGUUCCACUUGGCUAAUAUCUCUUUAAGUGAGGCAGCUCAAACUGAAGGCUAUAUUCCAGGGGAGUCACUUUUUUUUUUUCCAAUAAAGGAAGACUGUCACCUGUC